AGCGAACGCUGGCGGCAGGCUUAACACAUGCAAGUCGAACGGGCGUAGCAAUACGUCAGUGGCAGACGGGUGAGUAACGCGUGGGAACAUACCUCUUGGUUCGGAACAACACAGGGAAACUUGUGCUAAUACCGGAUAAGCCCUUACGGGGAAAGAUUUAUCGCCGAGAGAUUGGCCCGCGUCUGAUUAGCUAGUUGGUGGGGUAAAGGCCUACCAAGGCGACGAUCAGUAGCUGGCUGAGAGGAUGAUCAGCCACAUUGGGACUGAGACACGGCCCAAACUCCUACGGAGGCAGCAGUGGGAAUAUUGGACAAUGGGCGCAAGCCUGAUCCAGCCAAUGCCGCGUGAGUGAUGAAGGCCCUAGGGUUGUAAAGCUC
rnacentral:rRNA from 1 species